rnacentral:rRNA from 1 species
UGGGGAAUAUUGGACAAUGGGCGAAAGCCUGAUCCAGCAAUGCCGCGUGUGUGAAGAAGGUCUUCGGAUUGUAAAGCACUUUCGACGGGGACGAUGAUGACGGUACCCGUAGAAGAAGCCACGGCUAACUACGUGCUAG